GGAGAGGUGACCGAGUGGUUUAUGGUGCCGCUCUCGAAAAGCGGUGGGUAGCAAUGCCUCGUGGGUUCGAAUCCCACCCUCUCCG
rnacentral:tRNA from 1 species